AUUAUAGCUAUCAUGUCAAUUUAAAGAAAUCAAAAUGGAGCACGUCGUGGACGUAAGUCAAACAAUGAGGCAAGAACCACAAUCGAUGGUGAAACCAGUCGUGAAGGCCAGUAUCUGUGGAAAGACAGAAACUGUCAAGUUAUGCUUGAACUUGUCAUUGCGGAGUUAAGAGCAGGAGACUACCAUAGUAGAAUGCCCGAUGCUGCUGCUAAGAAAAGAAUUGAGAACAAAUACUUUGAGUUGGUGGGAGAAAAGAUUUGUUGGGAUCCAGAAAUAACUAACAAAAUUGGUUACCUGCGUAAACUAUGGAGUAUUAAUGGUCAACUGAUAAAACGCACUGGAGUUGCAGUUGAUCAAUCUACUGGACAGAUAGAUAUGAUGCAAACUUGGUGGGCUGAUCGGAUUGCAGAAUAUGGAAACAAAG